AAGAGUUUGAAUCCUGGCUCAGAACGAACGCUGGCGGCGUGCUUAAGACAUGCAAGUCGAACGGUAAGGCUUGUCACUCUUCGGAGUGACUCGCACACGAGUGGCGCACGGGUGAGUAACGCGUGGGUAAUCUGCCUUCGGGUUUGGGACAACUCCGGGAAACUGGAGCUAAUACCGAAUAAGACCACGAGGUCCUUGGGCCUUGCGGAAAAAGGUGGCCUCUUCUUGAAAGCUAUCGCCUGUAGAUGAGCCCGCGUCCCAUUAGCUUGUUGGUGAGGUAACGGCUCACCAAGGCAUCGAUGGGUAGCUGGUCUGAGAGGAUGAUCAGCCACACUGGAACUGAGACACGGUCCAGACUCCUGCGGGAGGCAGCAGUCGGGAAUCUUGCACAAUGGGCGAAAGCCUGAUGCAGCAACGCCGCGUGAGGGAUGAAGGCCCUCGGGUCGUAAACCUCUGUCGGAAGGGAAGAAAGUAUUUCGGGCCAAUACCCCGGAGUAUCGACGGUACCUUCAAAGGAAGCGCCGGCUAACUCCGUGCCAGCAGCCGCGGUAAUACGGAGGGCGCGAGCGUUAUUCGGAAUCAUUGGGCGUAAAGCGCGUGUAGGCGGCUGGGUAAGUCGGAUGUGAAAGCCCGGGGGCUCACUCCGGAAUUGCAUUCGAAACUGUCCAGCUAGAGUCUCGGAGAGGAGGGCGGAAUUCC
rnacentral:rRNA from 1 species